rnacentral:rRNA from 1 species
CACGUAGGGUGCGAGCGUUGUCCGGAAUUAUUGGGCGUAAAGAGCUCGUAGGCGGUGUGUCGCGGUCGGCCGUGAAAACCUGCAGCUUAACUGUGGGCUUGCGGUCGAUACGGGCAUCACUGGAGUUCGGCAGGGGAGACUGGAAUUCCUGGUGUGAGCGGUGAAAUGCGCAGAGUAUCAGGAGGAACACCCGGUGGCGAAG